rnacentral:rRNA from 1 species
UACGUAGGGUGCAAGCGUUGUUCGGAAUUACUGGGCGUAAAGGGCGCGUAGGCGGCCAUCUAAGUCAGACGUGAAAUCCCCCGGCUUAACUGGGGAACUGCGUCUGAUACUGGAUGGCUUGGAUUCGGGAGAGGAAUGCGGAAUUCCAGGUGUAGCGGUGAAAUGCGUAGAUAUCUGGAGGAACACCGGUGGCGAAGGCGGCAUUCUGGACCGAUAUUGACGCUGAGGAGCGAAAGCCAGGGGAGCAAACGGG